GGGUUGUGAGGUUAAGCGACUAAGCGUACACGGUGGAUGCCCUGGCAGUCAGAGGCGAUGAAGGACGUGCUAAUCUGCGAUAAGCGUCGGUAAGGUGAUAUGAACCGUUAUAACCGGCGAUUUCCGAAUGGGGAAACCCAGUGUGAUUCGUCACACUAUCAUUAACUGAAUCCAUAGGUUAAUGAGGCGAACCGGGGGAACUGAAACAUCUAAGUACCCCGAGGAAAAGAAAUCAACCGAGAUUCCCCCAGUAGCGGCGAGCGAACGGGGAGCAGCCCAGAGCCUGAAUCAGUGUGUGUGUUAGUGGAAGCGUCUGGAAAGGCGCGCGAUACAGGGUGACAGCCCCGUACACAAAAAUGCACAUGCUGUGAGCUCGAUGAGUAGGGCGGGACACGUGGUAUCCUGUCUGAAUAUGGGGGGACCAUCCUCCAAGGCUAAAUACUCCUGACUGACCGAUAGUGAACCAGUACCGUGAGGGAAAGGCGAAAAGAACCCCGGCGAGGGGAGUGAAAAAGAACCUGAAACCGUGUACGUACAAGCAGUGGGAGCCUCUUUAUGGGGUGACUGCGUACCUUUUGUAUAAUGGGUCAGCGACUUAUAUUCUGUAGCAAGGUUAACCGAAUAGGGGAGCCGAAGGGAAACCGAGUCUUAACUGGGCGUUAAGUUGCAGGGUAUAGACCCGAAACCCGGUGAUCUAGCCAUGGGCAGGUUGAAGGUUGGGUAACACUAACUGGAGGACCGAACCGACUAAUGUUGAAAAAUUAGCGGAUGACUUGUGGCUGGGGGUGAAAGGCCAAUCAAACCGGGAGAUAGCUGGUUCUCCCCGAAAGCUAUUUAGGUAGCGCCUCGUGAAUUCAUCUCCGGGGGUAGAGCACUGUUUCGGCAAGGGGGUCAUCCCGACUUACCAACCCGAUGCAAACUGCGAAUACCGGAGAAUGUUAUCACGGGAGACACACGGCGGGUGCUAACGUCCGUCGUGAAGAGGGAAACAACCCAGACCGCCAGCUAAGGUCCCAAAGUCAUGGUUAAGUGGGAAACGAUGUGGGAAGGCCCAGACAGCCAGGAUGUUGGCUUAGAAGCAGCCAUCAUUUAAAGAAAGCGUAAUAGCUCACUGGUCGAGUCGGCCUGCGCGGAAGAUGUAACGGGGCUAAACCAUGCACCGAAGCUGCGGCAGCGACGCUUAUGCGUUGUUGGGUAGGGGAGCGUUCUGUAAGCCUGUGAAGGUGUACUGUGAGGUAUGCUGGAGGUAUCAGAAGUGCGAAUGCUGACAUAAGUAACGAUAAAGCGGGUGAAAAGCCCGCUCGCCGGAAGACCAAGGGUUCCUGUCCAACGUUAAUCGGGGCAGGGUGAGUCGACCCCUAAGGCGAGGCCGAAAGGCGUAGUCGAUGGGAAACAGGUUAAUAUUCCUGUACUUGGUGUUACUGCGAAGGGGGGACGGAGAAGGCUAUGUUGGCCGGGCGACGGUUGUCCCGGUUUAAGCGUGUAGGCUGGUUUUCCAGGCAAAUCCGGAAAAUCAAGGCUGAGGCGUGAUGACGAGGCACUACGGUGCUGAAGCAACAAAUGCCCUGCUUCCAGGAAAAGCCUCUAAGCAUCAGGUAACAUCAAAUCGUACCCCAAACCGACACAGGUGGUCAGGUAGAGAAUACCAAGGCGCUUGAGAGAACUCGGGUGAAGGAACUAGGCAAAAUGGUGCCGUAACUUCGGGAGAAGGCACGCUGAUAUGUAGGUGAAGCGACUUGCUCGUGGAGCUGAAAUCAGUCGAAGAUACCAGCUGGCUGCAACUGUUUAUUAAAAACACAGCACUGUGCAAACACGAAAGUGGACGUAUACGGUGUGACGCCUGCCCGGUGCCGGAAGGUUAAUUGAUGGGGUUAGCGGCAACGCGAAGCUCUUGAUCGAAGCCCCGGUAAACGGCGGCCGUAACUAUAACGGUCCUAAGGUAGCGAAAUUCCUUGUCGGGUAAGUUCCGACCUGCACGAAUGGCGUAAUGAUGGCCAGGCUGUCUCCACCCGAGACUCAGUGAAAUUGAACUCGCUGUGAAGAUGCAGUGUACCCGCGGCAAGACGGAAAGACCCCGUGAACCUUUACUAUAGCUUGACACUGAACAUUGAGCCUUGAUGUGUAGGAUAGGUGGGAGGCUUUGAAGUGUGGACGCCAGUCUGCAUGGAGCCGACCUUGAAAUACCACCCUUUAAUGUUUGAUGUUCUAACGUUGGCCCCUUAUCGGGGUUGCGGACAGUGUCUGGUGGGUAGUUUGACUGGGGCGGUCUCCUCCUAAAGAGUAACGGAGGAGCACGAAGGUUGGCUAAUCCUGGUCGGACAUCAGGAGGUUAGUGCAAUGGCAUAAGCCAGCUUGACUGCGAGCGUGACGGCGCGAGCAGGUGCGAAAGCAGGUCAUAGUGAUCCGGUGGUUCUGAAUGGAAGGGCCAUCGCUCAACGGAUAAAAGGUACUCCGGGGAUAACAGGCUGAUACCGCCCAAGAGUUCAUAUCGACGGCGGUGUUUGGCACCUCGAUGUCGGCUCAUCACAUCCUGGGGCUGAAGUAGGUCCCAAGGGUAUGGCUGUUCGCCAUUUAAAGUGGUACGCGAGCUGGGUUUAGAACGUCGUGAGACAGUUCGGUCCCUAUCUGCCGUGGGCGCUGGAGAACUGAGGGGGGCUGCUCCUAGUACGAGAGGACCGGAGUGGACGCAUCACUGGUGUUCGGGUUGUCAUGCCAAUGGCACUGCCCGGUAGCUAAAUGCGGAAGAGAUAAGUGCUGAAAGCAUCUAAGCACGAAACUUGCCCCGAGAUGAGUUCUCCCUGACCCUUUAAGGGUCCUGAAGGAACGUUGAAGACGACGACGUUGAUAGGCCGGGUGUGUAAGCGCAGCGAUGCGUUGAGCUAACCGGUACUAAUGAACCGUGAGGCUUAACCUUACAACGCCGAAGGUGUUU
rnacentral:rRNA from 2 species